rnacentral:rRNA from 1 species
AGUGAACGCUGGCGGUAGGCCUAACACAUGCAAGUCGAACGGCAGCACAGUAAGAGCUUGCUCUUACGGGUGGCGAGUGGCGGACGGGUGAGGAAUACAUCGGAAUCUACUUUUUCGUGGGGGAUACCGUAGGGAAACUUACGCUAAUACCGCAUACGACCUACGGGUGAAAGCAGGGGAUCUUCGGCCCUUGCGCGAUUGAUUGAGCCGAUGUCGGAUUAGCCAGUUGGCGGGGUAAAGGCCCACCAAGGCGACGAUCCGUAGCUGGUCUGAGAGGAUGAUCAGCCACACUGGAACUGAGACACGGUCCAGACUCCUACGGGAGGCAGCAGUGGGGAAUAUUGGACAAUGGGCGCAAGCCUGAUCCAGCCAUACCGCGUGGGUGAAGAAGGCCUUCGGGUUGUAAAGCCCUUUUGUUGGGAAAGAAAAGCAGCAGGUUAAUACCCCGCUGUUCUGACGGUACCCAAAGAAUAAGCACCGGCUAACUUCGUG